AUUGAACGCUGGCGGCAGGCCUAACACAUGCAAGUCGAACGAGUGGCGGACGGGUGAGUAAUUUCUGGGAAACUGCCUGAUGGAGGGGGAUAACUACUGGAAACGGUAGCUAAUACCGCAUACCAUCAGAUGUGCCCAGAUGGGAUUAGCGUGUUGGUGGGGUAACGGCUCACCAAGGCGACGAUCCCUAGCUGGUCUGAUAGGAUGACCCGCCAAACUGGAACUUAGACACGGUCCAGAUUCCUACGGGAGGCAGCAGGUGGGAAUAUGGCACAAUGGGCGCAAGCCUGAUUCAGCCAUGCCGCGUGUAGGAAGAAGGCCUUCGGGUUGUAAAGUACUUUCAGCGGGGAGGCGGUACCCGAAGAAGAAGCACCUGCUAACUCCGUGCCAGCAGCCGCGGUAAUUG
rnacentral:rRNA from 1 species